rnacentral:rRNA from 1 species
CUGUUCGAGCGUCAUUACAACCCUCAGGUCCCGUACCUGGUGCUGGGGCCCUGCGCGGCAGGCCCCUAAAGACAGCGGCGGGGGCGUCCCCGGACCGAACGCAGUAGCUAUACCCCGUUCCGGCCCGUGGCGCACGCCCGCCGGAAAAAGCCCUCCAGCUUUUUUCCAAAGUUGACCUCGGGUCAGGGAGGAAUAACCCCCGAACUUAAACAUAUCAAUAAACGGAGGGAGAACGGAAGAGAACACGACUGNCUGUUCGAGCGUCAUUACAACCCUCAGGUCCCGUACCUGGUGCUGGGGCCCUGCGCGGCAGGCCCCUAAAGACAGCGGCGGGUGCGUCCCGGAACCGAACGCAGUAGCUAUACCUCGUUCCGGCCCGUGGCGCACGCCAGCCGUAAAACGCUCUCGAGCUUUUUACCAAAGUUGACCUCGGAUCAGGUAGGAAUACCCGCUGAACUUAAGCAUAUCAAUAAGCGGAGGA